AACGAACGCUGGCGGCAUGCCUAACACAUGCAAGUCGAACGAGACGUUCGGGUCUAGUGGCGCACGGGUUCGUAACGCGUGGGAACCUUCCCUUAUGGUCGGAAUAACUCCCCGAAAGGGGUGCUAAUAGCGGAUAGUGUCUUCGGACCAAAGAUUUAUCGCCUUUGGUUGUGCCCUCGUGGGAUUAGCUAGUUGGUAGGGUAAAAGCCUACCAAGGCGACGAUCCAUAGCUGGGCUCAGAGGAUGAUCAGCCACACUGGGACUGAGACACGGCCCAGACUCCUACGGGAGGCAGCAGUGGGGAAUAGUGGACAAUGGGCGAAAGCCUGAUGCAGCAAUGCCGCGUGAGUGAUGAAGGCCUUAGGGUUGUAAAGCUCUUUUACCCGGGAUGAUAAUGACAGUACCGGGAGAAUAAGCCACGGCUAACUCCGUG
rnacentral:rRNA from 1 species